GUGGCAAACGGGUGAGUAACACGUGGGAACGUACCUUAUAGUGCGGGAUAGCCUCGGGAAACUGGGAUUAAUACCGCAUACGCCCUUCGGGGGAAAGAUUUAUCGCUAUAAGAUCGGCCCGCGGCGCAUUAGCUAGUUGGUGGGGUAAUGGCCUACCAAGGCUAUGAUGCGUAGCUGGUCUGAGAGGAUGACCAGCCACACUGGGACUGCGACACGGCCCAGACUCCUACGGGAGGCAGCAGUGGGGAAUAUUGGACAAUGGAGGAAACUCUGAUCCAGCCAUGCCGCGUGAGUGAUGAAGGCCUUCGGGUUGUAAAACUCUUUAGUCCGGGAAGAUAAUGACGGUACCGGAAGAAUAAGCUCCGGCUAACUCUGUGCCAGCAGCCGCGGUAAUACAGAGGGAGCUAGCGUUGUUCGGAAUUACUGGGCGUAAAGCGCGCGCAGGCGGCUUUCCAAGUCAGGUGUGAAAUCCCGGGGCUUAACCUCGGAACUGCACUUGAAACUGGAUCGCUAGAGUAUGGUAGGGGAGAGGGGAAUUUCUAGUGUAGCGGUGAAAUGCGUAGAUAUUAGAAGGAACACCAGUGGCGAAGGCGCCUCUCUGGGCCAUUACUGACGCUGAGGCGCGAAAGCGUGGGGAGCAAACAGGAUUAGAUACCCUGGUAGUCCAC
rnacentral:rRNA from 1 species